GACGAACGCUGGCGGCGUGCCUAAUACAUGCAAGUAGAACGCUGAAGAGAGGAGCUUGCUCUUCUUGGAUGAGUUGCGAACGGGUGAGUAACGCGUAGGUAACCUGCCUUGUAGCGGGGGAUAACUAUUGGAAACGAUAGCUAAUACCGCAUAACAAUGGAUGACACAUGUCAUUUAUUUGAAAGGGGCAAUUGCUCCACUACAAGAUGGACCUGCGUUGUAUUAGCUAGUAGGUGAGGUAAUGGCUCACCUAGGCGACGAUACAUAGCCGACCUGAGAGGGUGAUUGGCCACACUGGGACCGAGACACGGCCCAGACUCCUAAGGGAAGCAGCAGUAGGGAAUCUUCGGCAAUGGGGGCAACGCUGACCGAGCAACGCCGCGUGAGUGAAGAAGGUUUUCGGAUCGGAAAGCUCUGUUGUAAGUCAAGAAAGGGUGUGAGAGUGGAAAGUGCACACUGUGACGGUAGCUUACCAGAAAGGGACGGCUAACUACGUG
rnacentral:rRNA from 1 species